rnacentral:rRNA from 1 species
AAUGAACGUUGGCGGCGUGGAUUAGGCAUGCAAGUCGAGCGGGUGUAGCAAUACACCAGCGGCGAAAGGGAGAGUAAUACGUGGAUACCUACCCUCGGGCCUGGGAUAGCUUCGGGAAACUGAAGGUAAUACCAGAUAACGUCCCCGGACCAAAGGUGUGAUUCCGUCCGAGGAGGGGUCCGCGGCCUAUUAGCUAGUUGGUGAGGUAACGGCCCACCAAGGCGAAGAUGGGUACGAGGCGUGAGAGCGUGUCCUCGCUCACUGGGACUGAGACACUGCCCAGACAUCUACGGGUGGCUGCAGUCGAGAAUCUUCGGCAAUGGGCGCAAGCCUGACCGAGCGACGCCGCGUGCGGGAUGAAGGCCUUCGGGUUGUAAACCGCUGUCAGUAGGGAGGAAUGGUUUGGGGGUUCUCCCCCAGAUUUGACCUAUCUGCAGAGGAAGGGCGGGCUAAGUUCGUGCCAGCAGCCGCUGUAA